rnacentral:rRNA from 1 species
GACGAACGCUGGCGGCGUGCUUAACACAUGCAAGUCGAACGAUGAAGCCGCUUCGGUGGUGGAUUAGUGGCGAACGGGUGAGUAACACGUGGGCAAACUGCCCUGCACUCUGGGACAAGCCCUGGAAACGGGGUCUAAUACCGGAUACGACACAGGAAGGCAUCUUCUCUGUGUGGAAAGCUCCGGCGGUGCAGGAUGAGCCCGCGGCCUAUCAGCUUGUUGGUGGGGUGAUGGCCUACCAAGGCGACGACGGGUAGCCGGCCUGAGAGGGCGACAGGCCACACUGGGACUGAGACACGGCCCAGACUCCUACGGGAGGCAGCAGUGGGGAAUAUUGCACAAUGGGCGAAAGCCUGAUGCAGCGACGCCGCGUGAGGGAUGACGGCCUUCGGGUUGUAAACCUCUUUCAGCAGGGAAGAAGCGCAAGUGACGGUACCUGCAGAAGAAGCACCGGCUAACUACGUGCCAGCCGCCGCAGUAAGAC